GACGAACGCUGGCGGCGUGCUUAACACAUGCCAGUCGUACGAAGAGCGAUGGAAGCUUGCUUCUAUCAAUCUUAGUGGCGAACGGGUGAGUAACGCGUAAUCAACCUGCCCUUCAGAGGGGGACAACAGUUGGAAACGACUGCUAAUACCGCAUACGAUCUAAUCUCGGCAUCGAGGAUAGAUGAAAGGUGGCCUCUACAUGUAAGCUAUCACUGAAGGAGGGGAUUGCGUCUGAUUAGCUAGUUGGAGGGGUAACGGCCCACCAAGGCGAUGAUCAGUAGCCGGUCUGAGAGGAUGAACGGCCACAUUGGGACUGAGACACGGCCCAGACUCCUACGGGGGGCAGCAGUGGGGAAUCUUCCGCAAUGGACGAAAGUCUGACGGAGCAACGCCGCGUGAGUGAUGACGGCCUUCGGGUUGUAAAGCUCUGUUAAUCGGGACGAAAGGCCUUCUUGCGAAUAGUGAGAAGGAUUGACGGUACCGGAAUAGAAAGCCACGGCUAACUACGUG
rnacentral:rRNA from 1 species